rnacentral:rRNA from 1 species
UACAGAGGUCCCGAGCGUUGUUCGGAUUCACUGGGCGUAAAGGGUGCGUAGGUGGCCUGAAAAGUUUGAUGUGAAAGCUCAGGGCUUAACCCUGAAAUGGCAUUGAAUACUGUCGGGCUGGAGGUUUGGAGGGGGGACUGGAAUUCUUGGUGUAGCAGUGAAAUGCGUAGAUAUCAAGAGGAACACCAGUGGCGAAGGCGAGUCCCUGGACAACACCUGACACUGAGGCACGAAAGCUAGGGAGCAAACAGG